rnacentral:lncRNA from 1 species
GAUGCAGAGAAGCUAUAUCAAAUAUGGAUUGCAGAAGGUUUGGUAUUAUCGAGUGAUCGAAGGGAUGAUGAAACAAUGAUGGAAGUGGCUGAAUCUUAUUUGGCAGAACUGGUGCACAGGUGUAUGGUUCAAGUGAAAUUUGAGGAUGAAGAGGUAUCACUUAGAAAGUUUGAAUCUUGUCGCCUUCAUGACCUUAUGACAGACCUAUCACUAUCCAAAGCAGUAGAAGAAGAUUUUUUCAAGGUCUUUGAUCUUCGAAGAGGCAGUGAUUAUCAUCAUGAUGAGCAAUCUAUGGAAUAUUUUGCUUACACUCGACGACUUGUUAUUUUUUAUGUCAGGGGUGGAGAAUCUAGAGAUAUGAGGAGUACCAUCUCGUCAAGGAAGGAUGCCAGUCGAAGCUUACGAUCAGUCUUAUUGUUCAAUGUUGAGGAGUGGAGAAUGGAACGUUGGCAACCCUGGCAACCCAUAUUUAGAAUAAUGAAUCAAAUUGCCAACUUCAGGUUACUGAGAGUUUUAUCUUUUGAAGGAUUUUCAUUUGUUCAAGAGGCUAUUAAGUUGAAAGGGGAUGUGCCCUUUUUUCAUUAUAUGAUUAAGCUACCAAAAGUAUUAGGUACUCUUGUUCACUUAAGAUAUUUGAGUUUUAGGGACAUUAUAAUACUGAAGUUUCCAACAUUUAUAGAAAACCUAGAGCAGUUGCAAACCCUUGAUUUGCGUAUAUUGUUUUUCUAUCAGGCAAAACAUAUAGUGCCGAAGAUGGAACACUUGCGGCAUCUAUAUUUACCAUACGAUAAUAUAGUCGAUGACGAGAGAAAAUGUAAAUUAAGGUUUGAUGGGUUAAGCAAAAAGUUGGAGACACUUGAAAACUUUGAUACUCGUUGGUGUGAGGUUAAGGAUCUGCAGAAAUUAAACAGUCUUCGGAAACUAACAGUAAUUACAACCAAUAACCGCGUUGAAUUGGAAGAGAUCAUACAAUACUUGAGUAAGGCCUCCAGCUCUCUCCGGUACACAUCCCUUAGAAUUAGACUAUUGGAUGAAUAUAAUUUGGGAUGGGGAAAUGGUUCAUCUCCUUUGAAGAAGCUAUUGUGGUCUGAUCGUUACAAGCUCAAUAGAUUGCGAACAGAAGGGCCCAUCAGAGACUUGCUGGUAUUUGACAAUAAUAGCCAUACCGCUACAAGUACCCUCACCUCGUUAAUCUUUGAAAGUUCUGGGCUGGAGGAAGACCCAAUGCCAGUGCUGGAGAGGAUUCCUACGCUGCGUAAACUCUCAUUUUUGGAUGAUGCGGUUCUCGCGAGGGAAAUGGUGUGCUCUGCCAUGGGUUUUCCCCAACUCACAGAUCUUCAACUACAUCAUAUGCCCAACUUGGAAAAAUGGAGGGUGGAUCGAGGUAGCAUGCCCAAUCUCUCCAGAUUAAUUAUUUCCGAGUGUGUCAAGUUGGAGGAGCUGCCGGAAGGAUUAAAAUUCAUCAAUGCCCUCCAACAUUUGCAAAUAAUAGGGAUGCCUAAAAAAUUCUGUGAUAGGAUUCGAUUGGUAGGUGGUGAACAAGGACCCGACUUUUACAAAGUUGCACACGUGCCGUCCAUCAGUUUGUUUCUCUGAUGAUUAAUAUUGAAAAUUGAUAUUUUCACAAGUUCCAUAAGUUUUUUCUCGUAUGAAUAGUAAGUAAGAAUGUAUCUCAUGUGAGAAAGGAUUUGAUGAAACUAUUAAAGUGAAAUUAUUAAUUCUCUUAAUAUUAUGUUAGUUUCUUUUCUGCUAUCUCUCAUGUAUUCCAGAUCAUCUUGAGAGAGAGAGAGAGAGAAUCAACUAAUAUAUAUGUACUUCCAUUAGUUCCAUGCAUGUCCGUACUAUAUAUGGACUCGUAAAACUUAACUGUUGAUUGUUGUGUAUAUAUAAUUAAUAUUUCAAAUUGCCAAAUUGGAGUGUACUAUUUACACUUUCCCAAAUGAGGUAUUACAAUCGCCUCAUCUUGGGUUGGGAUUAACAAUUUUUAAACAAAAAAGGGUCAUAAUCUUUUUAAAAUAUUGACACAUGUACCCUUUUUCCUUACUAAUUAACUCGUGGAAUGUAAAAACAGUAUACAUAUUUGAAGCAAGAUUUGAGGAAGUGAUAUUCAUAUAUAUUUUAGAGAGAGAAAUUGGGUGUUUAAUUUUGUUGCUUCUGCACCUCAUUCUUUCAGAUAACUAACUAAUUAAGUACCCCACCCCAUGCUUCGAUCAUGUUACUACUUCAAACAAAAUCCUUUCUUUAAAUAUGAAUAUAUAACAACCCUCUCGGUAGGUAUAUCUCUUUUCCAGCAUCACAUAUACUAACAAAAAUACUCUAUCCUUUUUAAUAUAUAAGAUCAAAUUUAAUUUGUUGAAGUCAAAUGGAGUCCAUUUCAAACUUCAAAUCUGACGCAACUUAUUUAAAUUUUAAAAUAAUUAAUCUUAUAAUUAAUACUGCUUCUUAAUGAUUUAUAAAUAGUCACUUGUAAUUGGCUGAAAUUGAGUAAAAUUACCGUUGUAAUUUUCAAAUAUACUGAUGGAGUUAUCAUUUUUACCCGUUAAAGCUACUCCACUCCCAUUCCACAUGCACACAGAAGUAAGCUGCUUAAUCAAUGGGAUUUGCCAACCUCGAGGUCUCAUAAUUUGGAUUUUAGUGUCUCACAAUCCACUUAUAUAUAUAUAUAUAUAUAUAUAUAUAUAUAUAUAUAUAUAUAUAUAUAUAUAUAUAAAUUAAUUAGCAAAUGCACAAGGCUCCACAUGCACACAGAAGUAAGUUGCUUAAUCAAUGGGAUUUUCCAACCAACGAGGUCUCAUAAUUUGGAUUUUAGUGUCUCGCAGAUUUUACUAUAGGAUAAGUGGACAAUGAUUUUUGUCUCAUCAUUUGGCGCUAUAUGAUGGGCCUGCACAUAGUAAAUGUAUAAAUCAAGUUUCACCGUUAAUGCCCUGAAAUAAUGUCUUUUUUUUUUUUUAUAAUUCAGGGUGGGGGACUGAAGCAAUGAUCUUUUGCUUUACAAGAGACCUUGGAGUACCAAUUGAGCGGAGGCCAGUUGGUGACUGAAAUAAUGUCCACUACACUAACAUUCACAUUAUCAAAUCCUCUUCAAUCCACUAAUGAUAAUAACCAAGUACAAACAAUAUCCCUCUUUUGUAUCCCUCUUUUGUAACUAUUUAUUUGUCACCAAAGUACUAUUAUAUUUCAUCAGCAUUAUCACUUCUUUAAAACUAAUUAAUUAAUUAAUUAAAGAUAUAUAUAUAUAUAUAUAUAAUUAUUAUUUUCUUGUUUCUCUUUCUUUUGGUUUUUGGGCCAAUUUUUAAUUGCAAUCAGUCUUGGUUUUUCUUGUUUAGGAUGGGUACAACAUGAUUAAUAGGCAGUGGUCAGCAUGAACUUUAUUUUUAGGUAAGUUGGUCAAUUGAGAUUCUAUGUGUAUUUAUAUUUUAUUGGUCAAUUAAUCAACUUACUAAAAAAUAAUCUUGAUGCUAACUGGAUCCUGAUUUCCUGAUUAAUAUAUAUACUCCUCCAGCUAGCGUGCUCGCUGAUUAAUCAACUUGUGUUCGAGGGCUCCAUGCAUGUACUCAAUUAUUGAGCAACUUUGGUGUAUAUAUAUAUUCCUCCAGCUACUCCUGUACUAAUACCCGACUACUAAAAUUGAAGAUCUGCUCUGCUCUCUCUGCGCUCGAUCGUCAAUUUCUUGGCUUCUCCCUCCUCCCCUCCGCGGCUGUUACUCCUGCUACUCCUACUCCUUUGAUCGCUGCUAUUCCUUUGAUUACUGUUAGGUACCAAAUCCUAGACCUAAUAUUUGAUAUGUAUAUAUGUGUGAAUAAUGUUAUGUUUGAAUUUUUGGCAUGUGGUUUUUCUUUUCUUUAUCUCUCUUUAAUUUUGACUAUAGUUGCAGUGCCUGUGGAUUUCAAUUCAAUUCCUUUUUUUGUUAAUUUAUGUAGUUCAAAUGUUUGAUAGAUUGAAUGAAUUGUUGUAUACUUGGUAGUGCUUAAUUAGGAAUAUGUGAGCAGCUUAAUUUUAGUAAUUUUUAGUAACUUGGGUUUUUAACCUGGUUUCUGCUUAGCAAUAGGAUAUAAAUAUAUUGGUGCAAAAUUAUAUUUUUGCUCUAUACAUGAGUGUACUCUCAGUAACCUGUAAAAAUAAAGUCACAGAGAGAUGUAUAUGAUCAACAUCAAAUGAAAACUAAUAAUUAUACAAAAAAGAAAAAAAUGCAAGUUGAGGGUUUGGAAUUCUACCUUAUUGGCUGAUGGAUUGUUAUUCAUGGUGAUUGUUUCUUUGGAGCUUAAUCAAGUGAUAGUGAUGUUUUUGUGUGAUACUUUUGUUGUAUACUCUAGAUAUAAAAAUGUCAUUUUACUAUUUGAACCAAACUCUGUUUGAAACAUUUGUGUGUUCAAAAUGUUAAGUAUGUGACAAAAUUUAAUGUUUUGACUAUCAUUUGUUUGCAUGGUUGAUUAAAAUUUUUCUUGUUCAAUUUCUAUUUAACUGACACAUUAUGUAUGAGCUAUGUGAUUUUUUUUUUCAAAACUAUUUCUAAAAAUCAGAUCAAGGAUUAUAAGAGGUCAACCUAAAAGGUAAAUGUUAGUUCUUUAUCAUGGCAAUGCAUUUCAUAAUUUUGUCAAAUCAUCCAAAGGUAUGAAAGUAUUAAUUGUGUUCAACUUCUCUUAUUAUAUUUCUAAUAAACGAGGACAAAAGGAGUAUGUUACAAGAACUGAGCAAAAAUGGAAGGGUUAAUUUGAAUCAUCAUGUAAUGUAAUAUACAAUGAAGCACUCAUUCGUUUGCAAAUGAUAUACGUUCUGGGUAGUCAUAUGGGCAGCACACAUUGCCUAUGUUAUGUGAAUCUAUGCACACAAAGCAUGCAUUCACCACAUAUUUUCCCCUCUUCCACAUACUUCCACAUAGUAUCUUGAGGUGACAUCGACCCCCACACUGCUGUCCAGAAAUUAAGUGUAUUUUACCUUUAUUCCAAACGUGGGUUUUAUGUUAUAUUAUGAGUUAAUCUAGUUAUAAUUUGUUCCAGACACAUAAUACUUGUUUGCAUGUUCAAGGGAGGACAUACAUACAUGUAACAUCUCUCCCCUAAACAGGUGCUUACAUGGCUGUACUGUCCUGUACAGUGCUGUAUUUAUAACUUUUGUCCUGCAUCAUUUGUUUAAGCUAAAAUAUGAUAUCCAAAAAUAUUUUAUCAGCAUUUGGUUAAGUAGAUUUCAUUCUUCUCAUGAUUUUGUGGUAGUUAAUUUUUUUCACAUUACUCUUAAUGACUAGUCUUUAGAUGAUCUUAUAGUGAGCUUUGGUUUGAGUUAUUUGGUUAACCAGUUUGAGUUUGCUGCAUGGUUUUAAAACACAUGAAUAUAGAUUAUGUGAAGAAAUUUGAUUAUUGUGUAACACAUGAAUAUAGUUCAUUUAAAUUUUUGUUUCAGGUUUAUGAUGCUACAGUAUUGUUUCUUGUUCCUGAAUUUUUUAGUACUUUGAUAAUAGAAAUUUGAGUACUGUUUAUUGGUUUUUUGUUCAUUUUGAGUACUUUAGAUUCCUUGUUCCGGAGCAUUUGAUGCUUUCUGCUGAACAUAUGAUAAUAUGUGUUUAUUUGUUAUUACUGCUUUAUUCUUUUGAUCAGAAAUAUGAUUUUGGAUUUCCCAAGUAAUCCGAUCUAGUAUUUUUGAAUCUUUGUUCUAAGGAUAUGGAUAUAUUUCCUUCUGCUCUUUCGAGGAAUAUGGUUUUUGAAUCCUUCUGAAGUUUUGUUGAUAUGAAUUAUCAUUACGUGGAUCCUUUUGAAGAAGUGUUUUUGAUUGAGGUUUGAUCUCAGUUAUGUGACAUAUACACCAUUAAUGUUUGUGUGUCUCCAGAGCAGGUUUUGUUUUAGGAAAUAGUAAAAGAAUUUUAAAUAAAAAGAACAAUGUUGUUUGAGAAAAAAAAUAUUUUUAAGCACUUAUCUUGUUUCUUUUAAUCAUUCUUUCAGAACACUAAUAGAGCAUGGUUUUCUUAUGUCUCAUUCAUUAGCCAUUAUUGGUGCUUCAUAUUGGCUAUUGGAUCAACAGUUAAUAUGAUUGUUUUCACUUAAGUUGUUGAUUAGAUUAGCUGGAUCCAAAUUGCUUGCUAAUGAUAGGUUUAUAAGGUGUAUCCAUGUAUUGUCGUUUCAUAUGGAUGCAUUAUGCAUGUCGUACAAUCUGAUAAAUUGAUUCUACUUGAUUUUUUUCAUUCAACAAGUGAAAUGGAAACUCAUAAAUUGAUGUUAUGGGUGGUGGUGAUCAUAACAAUGUUGUACAUUGAGGUGAAUCUACUUUAGUUAGUAAUAGUUUAAUUAUGCAAGCAAAGAGAUAUUAUAUUGCAUUAAAAAAAUUUAACUUGGAAUAAGAUUGUAGUUGAUAUGUUUAGAGAAUUUACUUAGUGUUUUAUUUAAUGAAAUUGUGGAUGAUUGUUAUGAUAUGAUAUUGAGUUAAUGUAUCUUUUUAUUAAUAUCCUUUUUAGUAAUCUUUAUAUCUGAUUUUAACUUAUAAGUCAUUAUCAGUCGAACACUUUCAUAACUUGUUUUAACUUAAUUUCUAACUUAUAAGUCAAAUUGAUACCGAACGCUUUUACUUAUAAGUCUGAACUUAAAAUAAUUUAUAAGUCAACUUAUAUUUGAACUUUAAGUUAUUUUAAAAUAAGUCGUUGCGGAAUGGGCUCUUAGAUUUGCCAUUAUAAACAUAAAUGUACGUGUGACACUUGCACUCUCAUAUACAACAUAUAUGCAGCAAGUACGUCUAACAAAAAGUAGAAAAUGAAAAUUACAACUUUGACAAAGUAAACACAUCCAAAAUUGGCCACGAGGCCAUGCACGAGUCAUUUCAUUUUGUCAUUGUUGGAAGUUUUGGCCUGCAUAGUUUACCAAAGACGUACUGUAGACUCAAAUAUUAAUAAUGUCCACUGAUUAAGCAACUUGUGUACAUGUUGUAGGGAUCGACCCCGUCCAUGUGGUCAUUGAUUAAGUGUUACUGUUUUUGCCAUCGAGUUUGUCAUAGCCGUGUAUUUGGAGAACUCCAAGCAGAUAAGCAUUUCUAGUACUAUAAAAGGGAGACACGCAUACCUACAUCAUAUAUAUAAAUGGCCGAGGCUGUUGUCUCUUUUGUUGUGGAAAAUAUUAGUGAUUUAUUGAAUGAAAAAGCUCAAAUUCUGAAUGCAGUGAUCAGUGGUCAAGUUGAAGAAGUUGUUGCCAAGUUUAGAUGGAUGCAGAGCUUCUUACGUGAUGCCGAUGCAAGGCAGAAAGAAGAGAGAGUCGGCAGAUGGAUUGCAGACUUGCGAGAGCUUGUCUAUGACGCCGAAGAUGAACUUGAAAGCUUUGUUCUCAAAGCUUCAUCCUUAAAGAAAGGAGGCACCAAAAACAUAAUCAAGAGAUGCGUUUGUGUCCUUGAUAAUGAAUGCGUGUAUCGUCACAAAUUUGGGCGGGAGAUGGAAGCUAUUCAAAGAAGGAUGGCUGAGCUCACAACUCGUUUACAUGAGUAUAACAUCAGAUCAAUAGCGCCAGUUGCAUCCUCCUCAAGUACUUGCAGGUCCAAUGAAACACCAGGCAAGUUAAAACGAUUUUACUCUCAUGUUGUUGUUGAGCCACAAGUUGUUGGGUUGCAGGAGGAUGUAGAAAGCUUGGUGGCGCAUUUGGUGAAUGAAAGUGAUGACGAGUGCUACCGAGUUGUGUCCAUAUGCGGAAUGGGCGGUAUAGGUAAGACCACUCUUGCUCAAAAAAUAUACAAUCAUCCCACUAUCAAGACUCACUUUUCAGGUAAUUUAGCUUGGGUUUCUAUAUCACAAAAGUGGGAAUUGAAAAAUGUGUUGCAACGAAUCAUUUUUUGUCUUGUUCAAGACCCAAAGCAAAGAAAUGAGAUUAUGAAAUUCGAAGAUGACAAAAUAUUGGAAUAUUUGCAUCAACUCCAACAAAGCAGAAAGUGUUUUGUGGUUCUUGAUGACAUUUGGUCAAAUGAUGCUUGGGAUUGUCUAAAAGCUGCUUUUCCAAUUCAACAUUUGAAAAGCAAGUUAAUGCUUACAAGUCGUAAUGUCCAAGUUUCUAAGCACGUUGAUCCAAAAGGUUUCCUUCACCAGCCACGACUUUUAAAUAAACAACAAAGCUGGGAGCUACUUCAGAUGAAAGCAGUUCCAAAACAAAAUUCAUUCGGUAAAGUAUUACUUUUACUCCCUGCAUUCUUUAUAUUAUUAAAUUCUAUCGACUCCUAAUCUUAAUUAACUCAUCGUGCUUUUUUAUUAAAAUAAAAUAUAUGCCGUGCAAAGAACACAUGAAUAUACGUACACACAUUUUUUAGAUAAUACUUCAUUCGUUCUAAAAAAAAUAAUAAGAUUAUUAUUUUCUUUUAAAAGUUCUUUUAAAAAAUUUCAAACUCAAAAAUGAGAUAAAUUAUUGAAACUUAUAAAUAUUACAAUGAGUCAAUACUUUUUAAAUAAUAUAUUCAUUAUUAUAUUGACUACAACUAAAGGAAUUUAUGCCCUUUUUGAAUUUUUUUUUUUUUAAAUUGACGUCAGAAAGUCCAUAAUGAUCUUAUACUUUUGAACUGAAAAUCAUAAUUAAAAUUCUCUAUAAUGAAUAUGGUUUGGGCCGUAAACGGACAUAUUUGAAUUCGAAUAAACUAAUAUUCGUAUUCGUAUCCGAAAAAUAAUAUUUUAUCCAUAUUCGUAUAUGAUAUUCGACGGAUUUCUUAACGGUACCAUUCGAAUUCGAUAUUCGAAAAUUAUUUGAAUUCAAUUAUUAUCCGUUUCUAAAUCCGAAGUCAUUAGUAUAAUUAAUUAAAAUUAGUAAAUAAAUAAUUUAAAAUUUGAGAAAUUAUUAUUAUGAUAUUAAUAUAACAUAACACAAUUAUCAACCAUAUUAUUAAAUUAUUAAAUUCAUAAGAACAAAAAUUAAUCACACUAUUUAAUAAAAUAUCUUUAUGAAAGAUAUUAAAAAUAUUAUAAUUUUAUAUUAAGACCCGUUCGGAUAAAUAUGUUGGCGGACAUAUGUUAAACGGAUACGAAUAUACAUGUAUCCGUAUUCUUAUUCGUUUAUUUGUGAAUAUCUCUAAUCGAAUACGAAUAAUUUCAGCUUUAAACGAAUACGAACAUGAACAAAUAUCCUAUUUUUCGAUUACCAUUUACAACCCUAAAUGUGGUCACAAAAUUUGUUGAAUUAUGGAUUUUUUUGGUGGUAUAUACUGAUCAAUAUUAUUUCAUCUUAUUUUUCGUGCAACGAUUUGUGUCCUUGAUGUCUAUACACACUACUAGUCUGCGAUAGUGUUUGAUAACAUCUUAUUGUCUCUUUUUGGCCUUUUCUCUCUUUUUCGCGCAGAAGUUAUGUUGUUUAAUACUUUAAUUGACAAAAACUUUUCCAAACACUUUUUACCUUUUUUUUAAAAAAAAACAUUGAGCCAAUUCUUUUUAAAAAAAGAGACUCUUCAUUACUAUUUUACUCUCACUAGCUUAAUUUCAUAUUUUUAACUAUUCAUUCCACUUCUCACACUACACCCACCACCACCUCUCACCACAACCACCCAUCACCACCCACCCCAUCAUUCACCACCACUCACCCCAUAAUUAUUAUAAUAUUUUAUUAGACUUAAAAUAUUUUACUAGUUAUACCUUGUUGGUGAUAAUUUUUAAAUUAAUUAUUUAAUAUUUGUUAUAUUUUUAUCCUCACUCUAAGUUUAUAUAAACUGAUAUAAGUGUAAAUUAGUAAAAUAUUGUAUUCAGACGUACAAAAAAGACGAUCGUUGUCAACCAACUCUAUUACAUUUAAUCUCUGUUUUAAAAAAGAGCCUCUAUUUUAUACAGAGGCUCUAUUUUAAUAAUAUCUUAUUGCACAGUUUUGUCAAACACUACCUACAUUUGUUUAACUGCAAUUAUGGUGAAUAUGAUUGCAAUUAUUUUGGAAUUAAUUCUAAGAUGAAAGUUAAUUCUAUGGAUUGUUUAUUUUAUUUUAAGAAAAUCUAUCUAAAGUCUUAAAAAUUUAGAUAUGUUUUAAUGUAGCCUGUUCAUAGGAAAAAGGGAAAAACUAAGAUAUUUAACUUCUAAACACGAAAAAAGUCAAUUUAAUAGUAUUUAUAAGAAUUCUUAGAAUUCUAAAUAUUCUAGAUUUAUAAAGCUAAUGAAAUCCAAAAUUCUAAACCAAACAUAACCUAACCAAUUGUCAUGCAUAUCGUACAUUUAUAAGCUCAAUCAUAUAUGCAAGAUAUUGUAUUGGCAGUUAAUUAAUGUACAAGAGAAUACACAAUUUUUUUAUAUUCCCUUUCAAAAUGUAUCUAGCUAGCUAGGUUCAUCAUUUAUUUAGCGUCGAUGAAACAUAAUAUAGAUUCUUCAGAUAUUUUCAAGCAGCAAUAAAAACUUGCACUUAUUUUGUUUUUGUUUCAAUUGGUUGUAGACACGAGAUCAUAUGUUAAAGAGAUGGAAGAGUUAGGGAGGGAAAUGGUUGGACAUUGUGCGGGUCUUCCAUUGGCUAUAGUUGUGUUGGGAGGAAUUCUUGUAACGAAACCUACAUUGACAGAAUGGGAGAAGGUGCAUCAAGAAAUUCAGUCAUCCAUUAGGAGUGGUGAAGGAAUGGGAGAAGAAUAUCAAAGAGAAGUAUUAGAGAUUUUAAUUUUGAGUUACAAUGAUUUACCAUAUCAAUUGAAGCCGUGUUUUUUAUAUUUGAGUAAAUUUGGCGAAGAUGUUGAGAUAAGUGCGGAGAAGCUAUAUCAACUAUGGAUUGCAGAAGGUUUGGUAUUGUCGAGUGAUCGAAGGGAUGAUGAAACAAUGAUGGAAGUGGCUGAAUCUUAUUUGGCAGAACUGGUGCACAGGUGUAUGGUUCAAGUGAAAUUUGAGGAUGAAGAGUUAUCACUUAGAAAGUUUGGAUCUUGUCACCUUCAUGACCUUAUGACAGACCUAUCACUAUCCAAAGUAGUAGAAGAAGAUUUUUUCAAGGUCUUUGAUCUUCGAAGAGGCAGUGAUUAUCAUCAUGAUGAGCAAUCUGUGGAAUAUUUUGUUUGCACUCGACGACUUGUUAUUGUCUAUUUCGAGG